rnacentral:tRNA from 1 species
GGGGUUUUAGCUCAGCGGCAUAAGCGCCUGCCUUGUAAGCAGGCAGUUGUGAGUUCAACCCCCG